UCUUUGAAGGAAGAUUUGACUCAGAAUUUACUGAUAUUUGAAGACUUAUUUCAUACUGGUAUUUCUGGCACAUGUCUAUGUUUAUUUCUUCCUACAUGUUGCCUUUUUUUUUUUUUUUUUUUUUUUUUUGUCCUCACCAGGAGAUGGAGUCUUUCUCUGACAACUUUGAUAUAAAUAAAUAGGAUCUGGAACCCAAAGUCCUGGCAGUCUAAACAAAGAGUAUAACUACAUGUGCAGUGAUGGGAAAACACACUGGUAAAUCCAGGUGAGAGUGGUGAAAACCGUGACAAUAGGAAUGUGCUGUUGAUUAUCUGAAGAAUUGAAGCUUUGUUCACUAGUAGCGUAAUACUGGAAUCGAGAGGAGACAUCAGUCAGGUGGGCUGGUGCAUUUUUUCUCCACUGUGAGUAUGCACCUGUGUUCAUUUCACCAUUGAAAGACCAAAAUAUUCCUCUGCGUGCCAUUGCGUGCUGUGCUGCAACUCUUUCCUCACCCACUGUACUGCACAAUGGUGGUACUCUGCUUUGUCAAGGGGAACCUCUACCCGGAUACAAAACUAUACAAAUGAAUUAUGAAACAAAACAGGGAGUACUUUAUCAAGCAAAGAGGCAUUAUCCUCCUGUUGUGUGAAGGUGAGACUAAAUUAAAUGCGAUAACAAAGAGCAGUUGCAACUCUUCAUUGCCGUUAGAGCAAUUCAGUGUUGCAGAAUUAAGAAUCACUUAAGAAUCUGUUUAAAAGUUGUGACUGCACCUUAACUGGAAUAAGGGCAAAGUAGGAGACUGAGACAGUCCUCUUCCUUUUCACGAGGUGCGCUUUCAAAUACUGUUAUGCAAUCUGAAUGAGAGUCCUUUAGUGAAUUGUGCUUCUGCCCUGUAGCUGGAAUCCAUACCACGAAACACUAAAUAUGGAUAAAUGAAAAUAAGAGUUAUCAUUUCCCUGAUGAGAUGAUAGAGUCCCAGCUGAAUAAGGGAUUUGGCAAAAGGAUUGUGGUGAGAACACUGUAAUGAGUUCAGAACAUCCUCGUGGCACAGCUCAGGUCUAGCACAGUGCUUAGUCACGUGGUGUGGGUCAUUGGACAAACAUUUUGGAAACCUUAGUAUUUGAAAUAAGGCUAGACUGUGUUUUUCCAAAGCAUUUGCGUUGGAUUUGGAAUGAAAUGACUCCUUAAGAGGUGUUUGCAGCACUUGAGCUGGAGUUGUCAGACUUAAG
rnacentral:lncRNA from 1 species